GUGUCCUCGCUCAGGUGCAGCUGGGCCAGUCCAGUUCUUCCAUGGCGAAGCCCGGAGAGACCCUGACACUCACAUGCACCAUCUCGGGUCCCUCCAGUGACACCCUCUCCAGUUCUUGUUGCUGGUGGACCUGGAUCCGGCAGGAACCCGGGAAAGGGCUGGAAUGGAUGGGAGAUGUAGCCAAAGAAGGGACAACACACUACGCCUCGUCUCUCCACAGCCGAGUCACCAUCUCCGCAGAGCCUGCCAAGAACCAGUUCUCCCUGCAGCUCCGCUCGCUGACAGCUGCGGACACCGCCACCUAUUACUGCGCCAGAUACACA